rnacentral:lncRNA from 1 species
GGGGAUUUAGAACUGACCUAUUGCGGGAUUACUCAGGUCGCCAGAGUAGAAAGCCUAAAACAGUUUCUGGAAAAUUCUCCAUUGUGCUCUUUAUUGUCGUGCGUCUGACCUAUCAGAGACCGUUUUCAGCCUAUGAUAAGCUCCAAGAUGAAUUUAGGAGGCAAAUUCAUUGCAGAUGGUGAAGAUUCAAGAGACUGAUCAAUGAUAAAGACUUUCUCUCAUUCAUCCCAUUCAUUCAUCCCAUUCAUUCACCCUAUUCAUUCAUUCACUCAUUCAUUUAUUCAUUCAUUUACUGUCAGCAUCUUGUAGUGCCAGCCACAUUUCUCCUUAAAUAGGCAUUUUGGGCUUGAUCCUUCCUUUUAAUGUAAAUCCCAAUCCUGUUAAACUAUCUUAGACUAGAUUUAGUCUGUUUUAAAAUUAAUUUAUUUCUACCAUCUGCUUUCUGUAUUUCCAAAUUAGAGCCUCGCACCCCUUCUUACUGGGACUCCUUUCUUGGGAGCUAACUUGCUGAUGUGUGGAGGGUGCUAGAACCGUAUACUGUAUGUCAGAUACCUUGGAUGGAGCUGAAAGGAAUACAUGGGCAAUAGAUUUAGUCUUGCAUCCUUUCCUAGUGAAGGUGAGUUCAAAGUAGGAUUCAAAGUUAAAGUAUCUGGAGUUCCCAUUGUGGCUCAGUGGUUAACGAAUCCGACUAGGAACUGUGAGGUUGCGGGUUCAAUCCCUGGCCUCGCUCAGUGGGUUAAGGAUCCGGCGCUGCUGUGGCUCUGGCAUAGGCUGGCAGCUACAGCUCCCAUUAGACCCAUAGCCUGGGAACCUCUGCAUGCCGCCGGAGCGGCCCUAGAAAUGGCAAAAAGACAACAAAAAACAAAGUUAAAAUAUCUGAAAAAUACAUAAAAGUAGGAAAUGCUACUCAGAAUUCCACCUCGUUUUUGGUAUUAUAUAAAGAAGUGAAAUAAGCCAGACUCUCUAUACAUCCUUCUAAUUCAUCCUUAUAUUCAUACCUGUAUCUUAAAAUACUACGUAUUAUUGUAGGGAAUAGAAAAGGAAGCAAGCAAUUCCCUUGUAGCACAGUGGGUUAAGGAUCCAGUAUUGUCAUUGCAGCAGCUUGGGUUGCUGCUGUGGGGCAGGUUCGAUCCCUGGCCCAGGAACUUCCACAUGCUGUAGGCUUGGGAAAAAAGAAAAAAAAAAGAAGCAUGCUAGAUAUUCAUAACUAUCAAAAGGAGACCAGUUGAGUAAGUUUGAGUAUAUUCAUACUGUGAACUAUUAUGUAACUCUUAUUAAAAGAGGUGGUAUUAUACAAGCUACUAUACAUAAAAUAGAUAAGCAAUCAGGAUUUCCUGCAUAACAUAGGGAACAAGAGUCAAUAUCUUGUACUAACCUGUAAUGGAAAGUAAUCUGAAAAAUAUAUAAAACUGAAUCACUUUGCUAUAUAUCUGAAACUCACACAAUACUGUGUUACCU